AGCCACCCACACUUACACUCACGCAGUGCAUGUCUUUCACACAGGAAAUCAGCAGUCUGCAAACUGCCUGUGGCCCCAUUCAGAUCCAUCAAGACCAACUUGUUUGACUGAUAUCCCUUUAACAAGAUGAUUAAUGAGGAUUGGCUGUGCAGCUCAUUAAAGCUAUGUGAUCUAGUCACCACUCGUUCAGAAUCUGCUCACUCUGAUGACUCUGCGCAGGUAGUAAUCAACAGUGAUUCAUACCCACAACCUGCUUAUAACCUAUCAUCAAUCCAACACACUUUGGAAACAUACAGCCAUUUGCUGGAUGUAACAUUAGAACAGAACUUAUAGCCCAUUCAACAGUUUGCCACAGAUGACUGCCAAAACUAUUAUAGAUUCAGCCAUCAGGAUCAGAGACCCAAGAGAAUCCAUCAAGCUGAGAGGGGACGACGUUGAAAUGCUGGCUGAAGAGUUAACUUUACAAGUCUGUUGCAAAGCAUUGGAAGAGAUGGAGAGGCGUCAUUACUCUGAUGAUCCAUCAUCCAAAAGUGUGGAUGAUAAAGAGGGGACUUAUGGAAAUGCAUCGGCCCUGUGCUCCUCAGGGUA